CCUACGGGAGGCUGCAGUGAGGAAUAUUGGUCAAUGGGCGCAAGCCUGAACCAGCCAAGUCGCGUGAGGGAUGAAGGUUCUAUGGAUCGUAAACCUCUUUUAUAAGGGAAUAAAGUGCGGGACGUGUCCCUUUUUGUAUGUACUUUAUGAAUAAGGAUCGGCUAACUCCGUGCCAGCAGCCGCGGUAAUACGGAGGAUCCGAGCGUUAUCCGGAUUUAUUGGGUUUAAAGGGUGCGUAGGCGGGUUGUUAAGUCAGUGGUGAAAGUCUGUGGCUCAACCGUAGAAUUGCCGUUGAUACUGGGAGGCUUGAGUACAUUUGAGGUAGGCGGAAUGCGUGGUGUAGCGGUGAAAUGCUUAGAUAUCACGAAGAACGCCGAUUGCGAAGGCAGCCUACCAAGC
rnacentral:rRNA from 1 species